GGGCUCGCUUUGACAGCACACAUACUAAAAUUGGAAAGACACAGAGAAGAUUAGCAUGGACCCUGUGCAAGGAUGACACGCAAAUUCAUGAACCAUUCCGUAUUUUU
ensembl:snRNA U6 U6 spliceosomal RNA